UACGGAGGAUGCAAGCGUUAUCCGGAAUGAUUGGGCGUAAAGCGUCCGCAGGUGGCUGUGUAAGUCUGCUGUUAAAGAGUCUAGCUCAACUAGAUACAAGCAGUGGAAACUACACGGCUAGAGUACGUUCGGGGCAGAGGGAAUUCCCGGUGUAGCGGUGAAAUGCGUAGAGAUCAGGAAGAACACCGGUGGCGAAGGCGGAUCUCUGGGCCUGAUCUGACGCUGAGGCGCGAAAGCUAGGGGAGCAAACAGG
rnacentral:rRNA from 1 species